rnacentral:piRNA from 1 species
GUUCAUGCUGUUAGCACAAAAGUUCUGAGU